rnacentral:rRNA from 1 species
CCCAGACUCCUCGGGAGGCAGCAGUGGGGAAUAUUGCGCAAUGGGGGUAACCCUGACGCAGCAACGCCGCGUGCAGGAAGAAGGUCCUCGGAUUGUAAACUGUUGUCGCAAGGGAAGAAGACAGUGACGGUACCUUGUGAGAAAGUCACGGCUAACUACGUGCCAGCAGCCGCGGUAAUACGUAGGUGACAAGCGUUGUCCGGAUUUACUGGGUGUAAAGGGGGCGCAGACGGCGAUGCAAGCCAGGAGUGAAAGCCCGGGGCCCAACCCCGGGACUGCUCUUGGAACUGCGUGGCUGGAGUGCAGGAGGGGCAGGCGGAAUUCCUGGUGUAGCGGUGAAAUGCGUAGAUAUCAGGAGGAACACCGGUGGCGAAGGCGGCCUGCUGGACUGCAACUGACGUUGAGGCCCGAAAGCGUGGGGAGCAAACAGGAUUAGAUACCCCGGUA